rnacentral:tRNA from 1 species
GGUCCCGUAGCUCAGCUGGAUAGAGCACAGGUUUUCUAAACCUGCGGUCACUGGUUCGAAUCCAGUCGGGACUA